UGGGGAAUAUUGCACAAUGGGCGCAAGCCUGAUGCAGCCAUGCCGCGUGUAUGAAGAAGGCCUUCGGGUUGUAAAGUACUUUCAGCGAGGAGGAAGGCGUUGUGGUUAAUAACCGCAGCGAUUGACGUUACUCGCAGAAGAAGCACCGGCUAACUCCGUGCCAGCAGCCGCGGUCAUACGGAGGGUGCAAGCGUUAAUCGGAAUUACUGGGCGUAAAGCGCACGCAGGCGGUCUGUCAAGUCGGAUGUGAAAUCCCCGGGCUCAACCUGGGAACUGCAUCCGAAACUGGCAGGCUAGAGUCUUGUAGAGGGGGGUAGAAUUCCAGGUGUAGCGGUGAAAUGCGUAGAGAUCUGGAGGAAUACCGGUGGCGAAGGCGGCCCCCUGGACAAAGACUGACGCUCAGGUGCGAAAGCGUGGGGAGCAAACA
rnacentral:rRNA from 1 species